rnacentral:rRNA from 1 species
UGAACGCUGGCGGCGUGGUUAAGACAUGCAAGUCGCACGGAUCUAGCAAUAGGUCAGUGGCGAACGGGUGAGUAAUGAAUCGCUAACGUACCCUGGAGUCAGGGAUAGCUGCCCGAAAGGGCAGGUAAUACCUGAUGAGACCCCGGCACCGCAUGGUGCAGAGCUCAAAGCAGUAAUGCGCUCCAGGAGCGGGCGAUUUCGUAUCAGCUAGUUGGUGAGGUAACGGCUCACCAAGGCGACGACGCGUAGCCGGACUGAGAGGUCGGUCGGCCACAUCGGGACUGAGACACUGCCCGGACUCCUACGGGGGGCUGCAGUAACGAAUCUUCGGCAAUGCGCGAAAGCGUGACCGAGCGACGCCGCGUGGAGGACGAAGUCCUUCGGGAUGUAAACUCCUGUCAGGGGUUAGAAAGACCUGAUCAACCCCAGAGGAAGGGGCGGCUAACUCUGUGCCAGCAGCCGCGGUAAGACAGAGGCCCCAAGCGUUAGGCGGAAUCACUGGGUUUAAAGCGUGUGUAGGCGGAUGCCUAAGUGCCUCGUGAAAUCCCACGGCUCAACCGUGGAAUGGCUUGGCAUACUGGGCAUCUUGAGUCAUCCAGGGGUCGCUGGAACAAACGGUGGAGCGGUGAAAUGCGUAGAUAUCGUUUGGAACGCCAACGGUGAAAACAGGCGACUGGGGAUGUUCUGACGCUGAGACACGAAAGCCAGGGGAGCAAACGGGAUUAGAUACCCCGGUAGUCCUGGCCCUAAACGAUGUCCACUAGAUCGCAGGCCCUCUGGCGGGGCUUGUGGUCGAAGCAAAAGUGUUAAGUGGACCGCCUGGGAAGUACGGUCGCAAGGCUAAAACUCAAAGGAAUUGACGGGGGCUCACACAAGCGGUGGAGCAUGUGGUUCAAUUCGAAGCAACGCGCAGAACCUUACCUGGGCUUGACAUGCCUGGAUUAUCCCCAUGAAAGUGGGGUAGGCCCUUCGGGGUACAACAGGCACAGGUGCUGCAUGGCUGUCGUCAGCUCGUGUCGUGAGAUGUCGGGUUAAGUCCCAUAACGAGCGAAACCUUUGCCCUUAGUUACCAGCGGGUUAUGCCGGGGACUCUAAGGGGACUGCCGGUGUCAAACCGGAGGAAGGUGGAGAUGACGUCAAGUCCUCAUGGCCUUUAUGCCCAGGGCCACACACGUGCUACAAUGCCGCCCACAAAGCGACCCAAAAGCGCAAGCUCGAGGAAAUCGCAGAAAUGGCGGCCCAGUUCAGAUUGGAGGCUGCAACUCGCCUCCAUGAAGUUGGAAUCGCUAGUAAUCGCGGAUCAGCUACGCCGCGGUGAAUGUGUUCCUGAGCCUUGUACACACCGCCCGUCAAGUCAUGGGAGCCGGGAAUAGCCGAAGUCGCUUCAUUUCAGAAGUGCCUACGCUAGGCUCGGUGACUGGG